UCCCUAGUGGCUCAGAUGGUAAAGCGUCUGUCUGCAAUGCAGGAGACCUGGGUUCAAUCCCUGGGUUGCGAA
rnacentral:tRNA from 1 species